GCAGACCUGGAGACACCCACUCUGACCCCCUCCAGCAUUGCAGGGGAACCUGUUGUUUACAAGAGGAUCUUCAGCUCACAACAAAGGGGAGGUUGGUCAAAAAAUGCUUCAGGGAGAGGUGAUGGGCACAUGUCUGCAGCCAGGACGGGCUGCCCUGUUGUCUUCUGCAUUGAUAAGAGAUGGUGAAAUGCUGCUGCAGCAAAGUGAAACGGAGUCACGAGUGACACCAGGAAGGGUGGGAUGUUACAUGUGUGGAAGAGAAGACCCAGCUAUCUGCCAAAGCCAUCAGCCUGCAAGAACCACAGGAACUCAUGUGCUCUCCCUGCUGAUCUUGCUGGUUUUGUCAAGAAAAGCAGUCCUGGCUGCAGAGGACGUCUGGUGCUCACAGGAGGGACAAAGCAGAUCCAAAACUGUAGCAUCGUGGCCGCCCAGAGAACGCUGGAUCCAGUCUGGUCACCCAAACACCGCCUGCCUGCAGCUUCUGAGCAGGGCUCAGACAAAAGAAAACCCAUCCAAACUGUGGGUUUAUGUUUGUUUUCCACGCUCCACCAUUGAAAUUCCAUGUGAAAGAUUUACAAGUCCCUGGAGGGGAGCAGGGACUGCAGCCGAGAGCCCGGUGUUUUGCCAUCUCUGCUGUGCGCUGGAGUGA
ensembl:lncRNA